rnacentral:lncRNA from 1 species
GAUUUUUAAACUAAUACUAGCUUGUUGACGGACCUGAAAGACAGAUCCUGUACCGCAGGCACUUCUGCAAGAGGCGGCAGUUUGUUUAUAGUACAAAUUGCCUAUUAAGUAUUGCUGCAUAUUUGAAAUUACGUAAAAAUUAUAUCAUGCACACAUAUUUUAUAUCAGUUAAAUGCAAAACAAAAACUGGUGAAAUGGGGGUUAGGAAGGUCCAAAAAGAAAAAUGUUUGCAUAAUGAAUUCUUGAUUCUUUUUUUCUUUUCAAUUAUUAAUAUCACAACCUACAGACUUAAGAGUAAAAACGUGCAGAAGUAGUCAUCUUGAAUUGUUUGGAUUUUGGGGGAUUGAUAUUUUCUGCCCAGUUGUCCACCUAAAAGGGGAUAAAGAAAGUUGACUCAUGUGAAAGAGAAACUUGAUGUUUUCUACUUGUUAGAAUAUCAUCCAAUUCAAAAUCAGCCUAUAAUAGAGUAGUAUUUUAGAAAUCUUCUAUUAUCACUUUUCUGGGAAGACCUUGAAAGAAUAAAAAGAAAUGUUAAGCAUAGUCUUUCCUGUCAUGAAGUGUUUUGCUUUGAUUUGAUGUGAUUUUGUGGCAAA